UCCUUCGUGGCGUAGUGGUCAGCACGCUCGGCGCGUAUUCGAGAGGUCCGUGGUUCGAGUCCCGGCGAGGGCA
rnacentral:tRNA from 1 species